GAUGAAGAACGUAGCAAAAUGCGAUAAGUAAUGUGAAUUGCAGAAUUCAGUGAAUCAUCGAAUCUUUGAACGCACAUUGCGCCCCCUGGUAUUCCGGGGGGCAUGCCUGUCCGAGCGUCAUUACAACCCUCAAGCUCAGCUUGGUGUUGGGCCCCGCCGCCCCGGCGGGCCCUAAAGUCAGUGGCGGUGCCGUCCGGCUCCGAGCGUAGUAAUUCUUCUCGCUCUGGAGGUCCGGUCGUGUGCUCGCCAGCAACCCCCAAUUUUUUUCAGGUUGACCUCGGAUCAGGUAGGGAUACCCGCUGAACUUAAGCAUAUCAUAAGCGGAGGA
rnacentral:misc_RNA from 1 species